UAAAUAUUACCUCUCUUACUGAACAGAAAUACUCAAAUAAGAAUGAAGUGGAUAAGAAUGAAGAAAGGAAGAAUAGAAAACACUUUUUUUGAGCUUAAGUCUUUUCCUUUUUUAUUUGUUAUGUUUCUUUCUUUUAAUAAUAUCAACGAUCUUGUCAUUUAUUUAUUUUAUAUCUACAAUCGUGGUUGUUCUUUAAUUUUGUUCCUAAGAGGUUAUGGUUAUUCCAAAAGCCAUAUAGAGUAUAAUUGUUUCAUUAUAAAUUUUAAUUAGUGGGUAGUGCUGGUGGCAUUCUGUAUCUUAACACCAAGCAGCCAUUCACAACGUGUAAAUGCUGAUUUUCCUUUAUUGUUUUCUUCUUGCCUUCGGGCCAUACCCUUAUUCAUAUUUUAAGUUUUGUCGUAUUGAUGUAUCAAUAUUAUAUAAUAACCAUAUCCAUGCUUCAUAGCUCGUAUGUAGUUUCAUAGAUCUGCAAAUCACCAAAUAUCAAUUCAACCCCUUCAUUUUUGCUUAUAUUAUAUAUUUCAUUGGAUUUUUUUUGUCUUAUCACUACUAGGUGCUGGUGGUGGAAGGAAUGUGAGUGCUCAUAAGGAAAAUGGAGUCAGUAAUAGCAUGGAGAGAGGUUUUAAGCCCUCCCUGUCAGUUCCAGAAAAAACAAAAAAUAAUGCGAACCCUCAUGUCAUAAAAUCUUCUACCAUUUCAGUCAAUGGGCCCACACAUGUUCCUGAUGGCAGUUCCAGUUCCAGUCUGUAAAAGAAUCCCAGAUUCUUGAAAAGAAUCAGCCGUUGGAGCCUUCCAAAGAUAUUUCCGGAGUAGCAGUUUGCUUCUUGUGGAAUGCAGGCAUGUAAAGAUUAAAAUAUUAACCCAUGGAAGAAUCAUGACGAAAAUUUUUGUUUUUAAUUUACAUUAUUUAGAUUUGUGAACAACAUUAUGUAUGUAUUAUGCAACAUUAUGUAUUGGGAUAAUUUUGCUGAUGUAUUGUUAUGAAUGGAAGAAUAUUUUAAU